rnacentral:misc_RNA from 1 species
GAAAUUUCUCACCUUAUCUUCUCGAUAGCAUUCUGCGUAUCCCAAAACCAAGCUUGCUGCAAUCAUGUUUCUUGUUUUCUUGCUCUUUUCUUAUUCCAUGCUCCCCCUUUCUGCUGAUGAGCUCCGUUAUGUGCCUUCAGAUAACUUUGCAAUAGAUUGUUCCCUAUUAGAUACACUAUCUUAUUUUAGACCAAAUUAUAACAUUGAACAAAAUUUCAGUUCUUCAACCGUGUCCAGAAUAAAUAAUAUGGAACCUCACGACCGUGGUAAGAAACCAGAAACUUCUGCUUGCAUCAUUAGAAAACAGCACACUUACCCAUUUUCUGUCUCCACUGGCCCCAAGUUUGUUCGCCUAUACUUUGUACCAAUCUCUUAUUCAGGGUUGAAGAUAUCCAAGGCAUUGUUCUCCGUCAACAUUGGUCAGUAUACAGUUCUAACCACUUCUGAAUCCUCCUAUUACAAACUCAACUCAGAUGCUGGUUAUUUUGUAAGAGAAUUCUGUAUCAUCACAGAUGGCCAAAUAUUAAAUGUGACAUUCACCCCAUCUUCGAAGAUUUCAGGUGCCUAUGCUUUUGUCAACAAGAUUGAAAUUGUCUCCAUGCCUUCAAAGCUUUACAUCCAAGAAAAUGUUCCACUUCCACUCAUCGGACGACCUUCUCACUACUCUAUGGAGAUCUCUACAGCCCUUGAGAUGAUGCACCGGGUGAACGUAGGAGGGGAUUUUAUCCCUCAACCAGAAGAUACUGGCAUGUUUCGAUUCUGGACAAGUGACAUCGAUUAUAUUAUAGAUGAUG